rnacentral:tRNA from 1 species
GUGGGACUGUGGCUCAUUGGUAGAGCACAUGCCUAGCAUGUGUGAGGCCCUGGGUUUGAUCCUCAGCACCACA